UCUAGCUGUGGCUGGUUGAAUUUCACGAGGUUUAAUGAAUCUUAUUGUUAAUAGGAAGAUGUUGCUUCCCAGUGCUGUUUUCAUGAUUGUUCCUUAAAUUAAUCUGCUGUAAUCUCAAGAUGGCAGCUCCUGUCAGACGAAACAUAAGAAACAAGAAGAGAAAUGGCUGGAACAAAUACCUCAGACACUGAACAUCCAAUACUAUAAAGUGAUCUUUAACUGAGACAACUAGAACAUAAAUGGAUUAAAGUGGCUAGUAAUGGGAAAACAAGUACCCAUUCAAAGUGCAAUUGGAAGAAAUUUAAGACAAAGAAAGUUGCAUUAUAAAUGUAUUCACACUUACUGCUCUACUGAAAUAUGAGCCUGUACUCUUUCCUGAUUUUGUCUUCCUUACUAGGAAAUUAUUUAAUGUCCUCCUUUAAUGUGCUCAAUAUGUAAUGCAUUUAUAUCAAGUAACUGUUGUAGGUUGGUAAUUCAGUCUAAAAAGUUGUGAUUUAAUUGUGAUCGACAAAUAUGCGCUAAAACCAGUGUUCAUUGAUAUAAACCCUUAUCUGAACUUCAAGUGAAUGUAACAGACUGUUAAGGAUCCUUGAAAUAAACAAUAGCAAUCUCCAAAUUUUAAACCUUUUUAAAUUAGUCAUAAAGGCAUAACUGGCUUAAUAAAUUUAUUGUGCUUUAUUUCCAUUUUGACAUAUUUUAAUUCAUAACAGCUUAUUCUGAAACUUGAAUUUCUUUAAACUUAACUUUAAUUUAAAUUUAAAUUUAGUGUAAAUCAAUCAUUUUGAAUUGAAAGUUUUAAAAGAUAAAAUCAAAUGUUUUCACUAGAUAUGUUGAAAUGGUUCAAAUGGUUCUGUCUAUUAUCAGAGAAUGUACACAGUAUACAACCUGAAAUUCUUAGUCUUCACAGGCAGUGAAAUAUAGAAGAACCCCAAAAGAAUGAAUGACAGAAAAAUGUUGGAACCCCAAAGCCCCCUCCCCCUCCCCCAUGCAAGCCACAGCAAGGCUUCAACCUCCACCCUACAAAUGUUACAUUUGUAUUGAGUAUAUAUUUUAUGCUAAAUUUAUUAUUAAUCUAAAAUUGUCUUACAGUGACAUUCAUUGGUAAUUACAACAGUUUUAUUCUGGAGACAAGCAUUAAGUACAUACAUAUUACGUGUGAAAUGGGUGUGCCCUUCACAUAUUUCAUGAUCAUCAGAGGCACAUGAUUCUGAUUCAUGACAUGUUGGUAAAACAGACAACAUGCCUCAGAAAAUUCAUUUUUUUCGCAGUGUGUAUAAUCUGUUUUCAUAAACUCACCUUGUAAAACAAAAUUGCUUUGAAUGUGCUAAAUGUCAUCUUAGGUGUAAAAUUGAAUUCAAGAUGACCAUUCUAAUACAUUGUAAGAUAAAUCAACUUUUUGAUUUAUCUUACAAUGUAUAAAAUGAACUACUUGAGUAACAAAAAAAAGUUCCAAAGUGCUUCAUAUAUUGCUAAUUAAACAAGAAGUGAAAUCACAAACUACAUGAUGAAACAAGGGAAGUAGAGUCUGAAAAUUUGAACAAUUGGCUGACUUUAAGUGGAACCUUUAAGAUUGUGGUUCAAAAGGUUUCAAGAAAGGAAUUUCAAAGCUUUGGACACCAUGACUGAGCUGAAAAGAAUGUGUGUUAGACAUGAGUUAAGUUAUCACUGACUUAAUAACUACUUCAUUUUUUACCAACUCAGGUGGUAAAAUGAGAUUAAAAAACAACAUAUGAACAUCAAUAUCAGAACAGAUCUUAUUACCAUAUAAAAAUAGUAACUACAUCUAUAUUUAAACUGAGCCUGCAGAUCAAUUACCUUAUUGUAAAUAGUAAGAAAAUUAAUUGAAUGCCAAUUAGUGGAGAAAAUAAACAAGCAUUUUGAAACAAAUAAUGAAUAGUCAACGAGGAUUUCCAAAGGAAAAUCUUCCGUAACCACCCUUUUCAAGAAUCACAUCAUCUGGGUCCUUCCAACAUUGAGCAAGUGCCCAAUAUGGGAGAAGGUGACCUCUGUACCUUCUGAAAAAGAGGUGGAAAGGAGGCAACUUAUUUUGAGCUGAGGGUAGCAGUUUUUCAGUACUGAAAACCUUGUCCUAGUUAUUAUUGAGAAGGAAUCUUGAAGUUAGGUGUAUUUUUAUUUUCAUGAUGAUAAUGCUCCCACGGCAUUAGACAAUACCAAAACUUUAAAACCAGAACAGCAGAAAAUGUAGAAGUGAAGAGGUUAUGUGAUGUUGCAUGCAAUUUGCAGAUUGAGAACAGGUGGGGUUGCACAGGCUUCCUGUUUGCUUUAUUCUUUUUGAAUGUUUGCACAUCUUCUGGAGGCCUCAUGAACAUUUUCAGUCAAGCACCACCCGCUCCCACCAUUGACUGCAGCCACUUCACAUUGCUUGCUUACAAUAUUGCAAUGCUUAAAUCUGUAUUUCAGAUUUACCUCAAAGGGUAAUCAAUAAACCUCAUUGCUGGCACACCAUGGACAACAUGAAUGAACAGUUGUCGCUCUCUUGUGGGCCCAAGUAAUCUAAAAGCAGCUCCAGUGAACUGGAAGAGAAAUAAGUGUCUGCAUUCUCCUCACCACCUGCUUCCCCCCUCCCCUCCCCCCACCUCAUCCCUUGGAGGAGAUAAUACUGUCCUUUAUUGAAGCAGCACCAGCAGAGCUAAAGUUUGAAGACGACAGUUCGCUCAUACCUGUAGGCAUCAAUUUCAUUUCCUCCACCCCAACACAGUUAUCCCGAUAGACAUCACCAGUAUCACCUUCAACACAAAUCCUGAUUUGUGCUAUGAUGUGAAAAGACAAAGGAGAGUGGGGUUGAAGACACAAUGCCCUUCAAUUGGAAGUGCCCAGCCACCAGCGCAGUUGUAAAACUAAGGCAGGGUUUGCAUAUGUUGAGCACAAGACAUGACUGGCUUAUAUUAAGGGCAAGUGGAGAGAGCUAGCUGCCAGAUUUCAAUACAAAUAAAGAUCACUGUACAGUUAUUUUCUGUAUCAAAAUAAACUUCAUUUGUAAUAAAAAUUAUGUACGGGGUUAAACCAUGCAAUGACUUAUCAUUCAUAAAUGUGUUAAAGAGUGUUUUAUUACUUCCCUUAAAACCCAUAGACUGUUGCAACUCAAGUGGCCUCCGGGGGGGGGGUGUACACUACUACAAUAAUUGAGAGGGUUCUUCAUACUGCCCCACCACUCCCUAUCUAGUAGUGGAAGGACCCAGUAUGGUAGUCUUUCUCCAUCACAGUUAUUAUCAGGCCUGCCAGAAUGUCUGUGUGCAAUAACAAGGAGCUAGGAAAAGCCCAGCACUAACUUUAUCCAGAAUUUGGAAGAAAUGGGCACACUUGGGCUGGUCAUCUCAUAUGUAAAUCUGCUACAAUAGCACUUCAAUAUUCAUUAUCCCAUGGCUAGCAUUACCGCAAUACCCUUGGUCUCAUCUGUCAGUCAACCAACUCAAAUGAUCUGAAGGUGGAACAGCUUGAUGUGGAACUGCUUGAGAUUGUCCAGGAAAGCCAGUUGAAAUCUUUCCCAUUGCAAGUCAGUAACCUUACUGCAACCGUGCUGCAUAAUUUUCAGUCUCACCAUUCUACCCCCGUGUGCGUGAGAUAGACAUCAGAUUUGGGCAUUCAAGUUCACCAGCUCAUGUCAUCAGUAGCACGCUUACAUUAAGUACAAGGACUAACACAAAUAAUGAGAUGAUGCGUUGCUACAGAGGGCAGCAUGACCACUGAGUGACCACCAUUCUUUAAUUAGUACGUUGCUCACAUAUCAGCUGCACACUUUGGACGUUGACUCGUGUUGGGCUCCGGUACGUUCCGAGUCAGGGUUCCACAUUUAGAAGUGUCACUGGCACACUGUGCCAGCAGGGACAGGAGGAAACUACUUACCCCCACAAGUCUAUUCUGUCAAUCAGUGAGACUAACUCCAUUAUCCACCUUUCUCACUAAUUGCUAGGUACCUCUGUUUAACAAAACUCUUCAAAUUCACAUUUAGCAUUUCAAACACGAGAAAAUGUGCAGAUGCUGGAAAUUUAGCAUUGUUCAUUUAGCACCAAAAACUCACUUCCUGGUGCAAGCACCAGAAGGUAAAUCUCAAGGUAGCAUAUGGUGACAUAUACGCACUCAGACAGUGAAUUUACUUUGGCUUUGACUUUGAAGGGAACUCCUAAAGAACUCUGUUCUGCUGCUUGCAGAAGCCAGUCCCAACUCAUUGCAAAGUCUUUGCUUAUAAGCCUGAUUCUUACUUUUUAGACAAUGCCUGCUAUUGUUAAAAAUACCGAUCAGUUGAUAACUGGGGACGUUCUAGUUAACUCUGAUUCUGGUUAACUCCUCUUGCGAGGAAAGGCAAGGCUUGCUCCUGGAAAACGAUGUAGCUGUGCAGUGUUAUUGGGUGGCACAGUGGCAUUUGCUGCAGCUCUAGAGAGCCUGUUGGAGGGAAAAUGAUGUCCUUUACUCUAGUGGACAAUGAAAAAGCACUCCUUGACGAUACUGCAUAAUAUGUUUUGGUUGGUGCAUAUGAAAUAUUUUGGUGAGAACCUCUCUUUGUGAAUCACAAGUGUCUUAAGCAUUAUUUGAACAUAGGAGAGAUGUUGCUGUGACACUUCUGGACAUUGGCUCCUACAAAGGCCAUUCUGGUGAAGGACCCCUAGUAGGAUCCCACGUGCAGAGGUGUAAUAGCAGCAAUUCUCCUUUUCCAUUCCCAUGCAGGUUGUCCUUCUUUAUAUUUCCCACUCCACAUUCUCUCCGUGAGCUCAGAGGAGUGGAUACAAAUGUACCCUCAUCCGGUGUAAUGCAAAAGCCUUGAGGGCAAUGGAAAUUUCUUUAACUCCUGGCAUAGCAAUGACUAUUCUUUAAGAACACAAUUUUACCCAAAACAAUACACCAUGAAAAUCAGCUAGAAAAUAAUUUGUAAGUAACAUUGUCUUUCAAAAGUAGUGGAAAAGGGCCUUUCCUUCUGUAGGAUCCAUAUCUAGCCAUGUGAGGGUAACAAAUGGAUUAGUAUUCCAUUGAAAUCCAGUUUGGAAACACCAUAUCAAACCAGUUGUUGAAUAAGGACUGAUGUCAUGAUCUGUUUUCUCUUUGUACUCUUGGCAAGCAUUAAAACUGCAUACACCAACAUGGUGACUGGCCCAACGUAACGCUUUAAGUUGCACUGAAAUCGAUUUAGCAUCUAACCAACAGGUGAUGCAUCACCAAUAUAUUCAUCUUCUUAGAACUUAUAAGUGCAAUUAUUAUCAAAUAAUCAUAAUGAUAAUAAUAUCAAUAAUUGUAGUUAUAAUUGUGGCCUACAAAGAGCCUUGGUGCAGAAAGCCUUUAAAAUUCGCUAUAUUCUUUGGAAUAUUAUGCAGCAAUUUAAUUCAUUUUUAAAUUGCAGUUUCCAUUUCCAUUAUUUGGAUAUAUAUUUACUGAAACUAAUGCAAAAAUGCCAGCAAUAUCGAGACUAUAAUGACCAUUCCUAAAGUUUGCUUUUUAAUGAGAUAAGGUUUAUUGGAUAUUUUUAUAAAUAUUGGAAUUCAAUUGUAAACAACAUAGCCUUUCAAGAUAAGCUGUAGGUGUAUGGCAAGAUUAAGUUGUCAGUUUGUUGCUUGAAAUCUAUUAUUCUCGAUCCCUGCCCAAUAUUGGCUUAACAAGUUAAAGGUAAUCAAUAUUUGAAUUAAACUCCACCACAAAGUGAUCAAUUAAGAUGCCUUCUAAAAGCACUUCAAGAAAGGUUUAAUUUUCAUAAUUUAGUUCCUGGUGUAGUUAUUGCUUUGCUUUUACUUCAGUGGAAUGAAUGAAUUUGCUUGCAACAGAUGUUCCACUAAAAAAUACUUCACGCAUUAGGCUCAGAAUUUUAAAUGAACAUGCCCUUUAAUGACUUACUCAGUCCACGCAGACACUUAAAAAUUGACACUGAAACCAAGAAAAAUUACUUAAAGGAUCAGUUACAUCUAAAAUGAUGGAAUCAAUAUCAAUAUUUUCCCUGAGAAUCUUUCUCCCUGAUAAGCAAAAUCUUUGCUUAAAAGGUGCAUUAAAAUUUAAUAGCCAGGCAUGUGGUUUGGCAAUUGAUCAUUUCUGGACAGCUGUUCUCUGCUAUGUUUUAGCUUAGUGCUUCUAACCAUUUGAGUGUCAUCUUUUAAUGGCUUAUUUUAAGGACAUUUUGUCCCACUAGACUAGAUCCUACUCAAAAGAGACAAAAUGUCAAUUUAUGGAGUGAGACACAAAGAUUUUACAGAAUUAAACAAAACAAUAAUAGCUACAUAUUAGGUGUCAUACAAGUGACAAUUUGUUCCAGGUGUUCCUUUAUAAGUGGGAAAAAAUCAUGACCCACAACUCCUAAGUAGUGCAGACACAAUAUGAAGGUGUUUCAAACCAUUUAUUGUGCAUUAUUCAGUUUACUACAUGCUUUUUGUCUGUUAUUUUCAAGUGAAGUGAAAAGUUCCAGUGGAAAUAGGCUUGCAAAAGGACAUAUAGAAAUGGUUUGAUUCCAUCAACGUGCUACUAAUUACGAUUCCUCUUGUACAUUUCCUGUUUAAUUUUACUGGUGUGUUCAUUGUACACAUUUACAAACUGUUGUGAUAUUUUGGGCAAUUUAAUCAAAUACUAAUAGAUCAAAAUACUAAAAAAAAGUUUUUUGCACAAAAAUUAUAAUUAUACUCCCAUAUUUAUGGCUGAUGUACUUGUCUGUGAUUUAUCAAAUGCCUUGGAAGGGGGAGAGGGGGGUGGGGAACACUGAAAUGUGUUCAUUUUUACAAGGCACAUUUUUUGCAAACCAUUGUCAGGAAAAAUACUGAAAAAAUAUCCUUGGUAAGAUUGGGUUUGGCUCUUUAUUAGGCAAUUUAGCUAAACCUUAGAACAGGUUUUUGGCCUCUUACCCUUAGCAACAGUAACUAAAAGAAAGGAAAUCCAAUUAAAAUAAAGUAAGGUUAUAUAAAAAAGAUCAUUUUGAUACAGCAAAGUGUGAAUGCAUAAAUACCAAGUUCAAAGUUCAAAGUAUAUUUAUUAUCAAAGUACAUAUAUGUCACCAUAUAUAAACCUGAGAUUUAUUUUCUUGUGGGCAUACUCAAUAUAUCCAUAGAAUAAUAAUCAUAACAAAAUCAAUGGAAGAUUCCCUAGCUAGGGCAUUCAACUAGAGUACAGAAGACACCAAACAGUGCAAAUACAAAAGGAAGAAACAACAAUAAUAAAUAAAUAAACAAUAAGUAUCGAGAAGACGAGAUGAAGAGUCCUUGAAAGUGACUCCAUUGAUUGUGGGACGAGUUCAAUGAUGGGGCAAGUGCAUUUGAGUGCAGUUAUCCCCUUUGUUUCGGAAGCCUGAUGGUUGAAGGGUAAUAACUGUUCCUGAACCUGAUGGUGUGGCUUCUGAGGCUCCGGUAACUUCUUCCAGCUAAAACAAAAUGAAGGAAAUGAACCCACAGUGACAGAAUAUCAUUCAAUGAGGGCAAAAUUCUUACCCAUUUGAAUGUUAACAAUAGAACAUAAUGAAUACAUUUUCAUUGCAAUAAAUGGUAAGGAAACUCAGAUUCUACAAGCACUAUGUUUUACUCUAAGCUUUAUGUGCAGAUGUAAGUCGACACUUGCAGUAUAUAUUCACUUGACAUGGUGCAUUUUGUAACAACAAAAUAACCAAUUAAAAGUCGAACCUUCAAAUUCCUCAAUCAAAUUUUAAAUUAUUUUUAAACAAAAAUGCCACCAGAUUAAAUUUCGUAAGUAAGAUUUGCAAUGGUAUAGAACCAUUCAUGAUAUUUCCAAGUACUUUAUAGCCAAUGAGGCAUUUUCAUAGUGCAGAACGUCUUAUAUGGAAAUGCCACAGCCAAUUUGCACACAGCAAUCUUCUGCAAUUAUCAAUGUGACCAAGAUCAUAUUCUGUUUUAAUGAUGUUGACUGAGGGAUAUUUUUAGUUGUGGUAUUUAAACAUAUAUGUUGUGUGUAAUAUCGCAGGUCUGACACUACCACGUUUCCAAGUGUGCCAAAUUAUUGGGGAUUUUGCACUAUCUGUGUAGGCUUUUAAUUCAAAAAUCCAAUAAAUACAUGGGCAAAAGUACAUCAUUCUAACUUCAGAAUGACUUGUUGAUAAUCAAUUAUCCAACAUCCCUGAGCUUCAUUCCUUAACCAGUAAUCUAAUGGUGUCAUUAAAAUAUUUACUGUGAAUACUAAUGUUGUAAACCAAAAAUGUAAUAUUCCUGACUUUUUAUCUUGCUUUUGAUAUGAAUUUAUGUACUUGAUUUUUGCUUGGACAUUCUCUUGUAUAUCUGCUAAGACAGCAACCAUGAUUGCUGUAUCACACUGUUUUUUUUUUCAUCUGUGACUCUCUCAGGAGGUGAAUGAAUUGAGAUCAGCUUUCAUGCUACUUGCUCUGAUUACACUUGUCCUCCCAGCUCACCUAACAUGACUGCAGAGAUUUGCAGUGAUAAUGUAGUAUUUAUCAAAGAUGGGCUUUUUAAAUGAAUCAAUACAUUCAGUCCUAGCCUGGGAGUUCAGUUUUGAAGCCUGGAAUAGCUGACACAGUGGUCAUACUAUAGUGGCUUGUGGUGAAACAUUCUUCACUAAGCUAUUUUAAUGUGCUUAUCGAAAUCAAUAAGGUUAACUGCAUUUGCCAGCACUGGGGUCAAUAAAAUUUGUACAUGUUCGAUAAAGGAGCUCACUUCAGUAUUGGUUUGUACUUCUAACUGGAUGGUGUCACUACGAUGCAAUUCAUAGAAAAUCUCAUUAUAGAUUAAAGAUAAAUUUUGUUAGCUACAUUGCAUUUUUAUGUUUAGCAUAAGAGAAAAAUUAUGUAGUUGGGUGUAAUCUAAUACUGAUUUAAGCCUUAUAUUUGAAUAUCAACCUAGGCUUGCUUGAAUGUUAAUUAGUCAGAGUGUAUUGACAUCAAAUAUAGAUAUAUAAAAUAUUUUAUAGAGUGAUCAAUAUUAAAUAAUGAAAAUAACAGUAGGUCUUAAACAAAAUUCAUAAGUUCCUACAUGCAAUAUUUCUUUGCUUAAUAUGAUUUGUACCUGUUUUAUAUAUGUGAAGGUACAGGGAUAUAUAUACGUGAAUCUGGUUGAAGAUGAUGCGUAGCUCUUUUGUAAUGUACUGUUAUACCAAUAA